CUCCUUUGACGUUAGUGGCGGACGGGUGAGUAACACGUGGGUAACCUACCUAUAAGACUGGGAUAACUUCGGGAAACCGGAGCUAAUACCGGAUAAUAUUUCGAACCGCAUGGUUCGAUAGUGAAAGGUGGUUUUGCUAUCACUUAUAGAUGGACCCGCGCCGUAUUAGCUAGUUGGUAAGGUAACGGCUUACCAAGGCGACGAUACGUAGCCGACCUGAGAGGGUGAUCGGCCACACUGGAACUGAGACACGGUCCAGACUCCUACGGGAGGCAGCAGCC
rnacentral:rRNA from 1 species